rnacentral:tRNA from 1 species
GCAUUGGUGGUUUAGUGGUAGAAUUCUAGCUUGCCAUGUUGGAGGCCUGGGUUCGAUUCCCAGCCAAUGCA